rnacentral:lncRNA from 1 species
CGGGCCCUUGAAAAGGCGGCGCAGACAAGCAGCCGCGUCAGAAUGCUUCUGGGAGUCGGGGGGUGGGUGCCUUUCUGUUGCUAGCUUGUAGGAGAAGCUGGGCUGUAGGAAGUUUAUUUGCGGGGGGGUCUUAAAGACGCUGAAAGUACUGGCGGGCUUUGGUGGGGGUCUGGAAAAACCUCUCUGUACCUGUGACCGCGUUGCGUGGCGGGCGCUCCCCGGCCUCUCCUUUUUGACCGGUCCCGGGCGUUGCCCAGCCGCCAGUCCUCCUGCUCGGGUUUUGUAAGCAGGAGAGGGAUGCUUUUUACGUCUUCUUAAAGUACGGUUAAGUGCCCUUGCUUGAAGUAGUUGCUGGCAACAAGAACGUAGGGGUUACUCUUUGUUGGGCCUGAACUCGUGCUUUUUCUCUCAAAAGUUGAGCUUUUGAAAGGCAAAAAAGGCGUGGGGGAUGGGGGAGCUGUCGGUCUUAAGGAAGUUAAAGGUUAUUUCCUAAACAAAACAAGUCUCACUCCUAAAACCAGGGUAGUGGCUCAGUUGUGGCGGGAGAGCAGGGGCUGUAAAGUGUCCAAGUUUCUAGUCUCAUCUUUCAGUAGGAUGGGUACAAGCUUUCCCCUUGGGGCUCUGGGGGCUGGGAGGGUUGUAAAAGUGGGAGAAAGCAAAGUAUUUGGCGGGGUGCGGGCGGGUAGCUGAAUGUUGUUGUAAGUGGAAGAGGAAUGCUGUUGGCGUCUUUCUCUAAGCACGGUUAAGUGCUUUUUCUUGAAGUAGUUACUGGCAACAAGAACGUAAGGGUUACUCUUUGUUAGGCCUGAACUCGUGCUUUUUCUCAAAAGUUUAGCUUUUGAAAGGCAAAAGUGGGGGUGGGGGCGCUGCUGCUUUUAAGGAAGUUAAAGGUUAUUUCCUAAGAAAGCAAAACAAGCCCCACUUGUAAAACCCGGGUAGUGGCUCAGCUGGAGAGCAGGCGCUGUGAAGUGUACAAGUUUCUAGUCUCAUCUUUCAGUAGAAUGGGUACAAGCUUUCCCUCGGGGCUCUGGGGGUGGGAGGGUUGUAAAAGUGGGAGAAAGCAAAGUACGUGGGUGGGGGGUAGCUAAAUGUUGUUGUAAGCGGGAGAUGGAUGCUUUUGGCGUCUUUAAGCACGGUUAACUGCCCUUGAAGUAGUUGCUGGCAACAACGUAGGGGUUACUCUGCUGGGCCUGAACUUGUGCUGUUUCUCUCUCUCAAAAGUUAAGGUUUUUAAAAGGCAAAGGCGUGGGGAGAGGGGUAGGGGAGCUGCUACUUCUAAGGACGUUAAGGGUUACUUCAGAGCAAAACAAGCCCCACUUCUAAAACCAGGGCAGUGGCUCAAUUGUGGAAGGGAGAGCAGGGAAUGUGAAGUGUCCAAGCUUCUAGUCUCGUCUUUCAGUAGCGUGGGUACAAGUUUUCCAUUGGGGCUCUGGGGGCUAGGAGGGUGGUAAAAGUGGGAGAAACCAAAGUACUUGCGGGUAGCUAAAAACUCUGAAACCCACGCUGUGAGCGGUUCCUGCUUCUCUGAAAGGUCUGUUCUGCUUAAGGUUGUAUCAAGGUUAGUCUCUUGCUACCUACUUCUGUAGAGCAGUCUCUCGUGGCUCACCUGGGUUAGUGGCCAUGUUGCCUGUCUCCUAUUCUUCCUAACCUUGUGUGUUCUCCAGGUAGCUGAGUGAUCCAUCCGAAGUAAAAUAUUCCUCAGCUUGUCUGUAGGGGCUCCAAGUUUCAUGAAGUAAAAGCUAGUCUUGAAAACGGCCCAUUAGGGUCCUGGAUGACAGUCUCCGGGUCACUUAGACUCCGUUGUCCGCCUCCCCUCAUCUGUAUCAUCUUUGCCUUGGGUACUGGCUUCGGAGGGUGUUUUCCUGAAACUCUUACCUGAGAUCUACUUGGCUGACUCCUGUGUCCUUCAGAAGUACUUAAUUGCUCAAAUGAAUAACCCUGACACCUGGAAGAUGCUCCUAGGGAUGACCCCACUCCCCACCCACAACUGUUAAUCAGGAAAUAACGGAUAUGAAAGUAGCUCUGCGAACUGAGGAGCCGUGGAGAAUGUACAAAACAGAUUCCUAAAGUAGUGCAUUCGUGUAACAAGAUUAAGAAAACGAAGGACCAACUUCAAGCUCUUGCAAGCUGGUAACCUUUACACUCGUGCAUAAAGCCUUGCUGGAGUUGACACUGAAAACUAAACAGUCGAACUUGAGUAAAACAUAUCCAAACUCCCAGCUGCUGGGCUCUACAGCUUAUUUUUAGCUUGAAAGUUACAUGUUGGAGCUGCAGAGGCUUUAUGGUGGUGGUGGGGGAGCUGUUUGUUCGUAGUCACUUGAGUCUAUAUGAACGUGGCAGGAAAUCUGAAGGAUGUGAAAGGAAAAUGGGAAACACCAGGGUGUUCCAGGAUUUUCCCUGUGGGGCGCGAGCUCAGUUUGGUGUUGUCAGCUGUGGGAGCUUUAACACUUGAACCGUCUUUACUGUGGGUCUAGCCUAUUCGUUGGGCUCCCCUAGUCACCACUCAUGCCUUCGUGUAUCCUGUUGUGUUGGGCCCCCACUGAAUUAAAUAGGGAUGGCACCAUGUUCGAGAAGCCGAGGCGACCCAGAGCCAAUGAACACAUAUGGUGUAUGGAGGGGACUUGAAUACAGAGUGGUCCAGAGCAGCCAGCUGGGACAGAACUGCGCUUCAAAAAGCAGUUGAUACAGAUCAGGUACACCUACACUCCCAAGGUGUGGCUAAGCCGCUAUCAGGUGUCAAGCGUGUAAGGGUCACUGCCAGGAUAUACUUGAGUUGCUUUCAGCUGUCAUAACUCUCUAAUAGGAUGGGGAUCCUGAGGUCUGCAUACACCAGUGGUUCACAUCUCUGAGGACCCAGCUACUUCUCUGGCCCUUUCUGGAACCUGUCUACUUGGAGCUCCGUAGGAAGGGUCUGAAAGGCCCCUUACUCGCACUGAACGACAGCCAGAAUAAGACUAAUUUGCCUUCCCCUUCCCUGCUGAUUUCUCUGGGGUGCUGCUUCCGAUAGUGACCAGCGUCCUUGCAUCUCCAGCUGCACUGACCAGAAAUCUCACCCCCCACUUAGGUUAAAGCCUUCACUAAAUCUAGUUGCUUAGAACCUCUGUAUCAAAUCUUUCUGUAGCCACAGCCCUGCUUUGGUGCUCUUUAACCUGGGUUAUUCUAAUUUCUUCCUGACCAGUUAAUCUGUAUCUGCUUG